ACAGCAGCCGCCGCGGGAAUACGUAGGUGGCAAGCGUUGUCCGGAAUUAUUGGGCGUAAAGGGCUCGCAGGCGGUUUCUUAAGUCUGAUGUGAAAGCCCCCGGCUCAACCGGGGAGGGUCAUUGGAAACUGGGAAACUUGAGUGCAGAAGAGGAGAGUGGAAUUCCACGUGUAGCGGUGAAAUGCGUAGAGAUGUGGAGGAACACCAGUGGCGAAGGCGACUCUCUGGUCUGUAACUGACGCUGAGGAGCGAAAGCGUGGGGAGCGAACAGGAUUAGAUACCCGAGUAGUCCCUGUCUCUUAUAU
rnacentral:rRNA from 1 species